AAGUCGAACGCCCCUUCGGGGGAGUGGCGGACGGGUGAGUAACGCGUGGGAAUAUGCCCUAUGGUGCGGAACAACUGAGGGAAACUUCAGCUAAUACCGCAUGUGCCCUGAGGGGGAAAGAUUUAUCGCCAUAGGAGUAGCCCGCGUUGGAUUAGCUAGUUGGUGGGGUAAUGGCUCACCAAGGCUACGAUCCAUAGCUGGUCUGAGAGGAUGAUCAGCCACACUGGGACUGAGACACGGCCCAGACUCC
rnacentral:rRNA from 1 species